AGUCGUAUGUGAUAUUAGAAUUUAUCAUAAAUACGCUUGUAUCUAAUGGCAGCAAUUGCAGAGCAGGAUCGACACACCUAAACUUCCGUAAUGUCAGCUUUCUAAAUUGCAUGUGAAGAGGGGUAACAAAUAACAGUUUUCAUCAUGGGUGAAAGCACUGUAACGUUAAGGACAAAAAAAUUUAUGUCAAAUCGAUUAUUAUGUCGGAAACAAAUGAAUCGCUAAAGGGGCUGUUGAUCUAUCCGCAUUUGAUAGAUGGUUAGUGCACAUUGCUUAUUUUGUGCAAUUUGAUGCUUUUUAAGCAGGAACAGGCCAUUGUACAUGCAAGCAAGAAUGUCAUAAAGGAAUUUCACGGGUUUUGUGAAAAAU